rnacentral:rRNA from 1 species
CCGACUCCUACGGGAGGCAUCAGUGGGGAAUUUUGGACAAUGGGCGAAAGCCUGAUCCAGCAAUGCCGCGUGUGUGAAGAAGGCCUUCGGGUUGUAAAGCACUUUUGUCCGGAAAGAAAUGGCUCUGGUUAAUACCUGGGGUCGAUGACGGUACCGGAAGAAUAAGGACCGGCUAACUACGUGCCAGCAGCCGCGGUAAUACGUAGGGUCCAAGCGUUAAUCGGAAUUACUGGGCGUAAAGCGUGCGCAGGCGGUUGUGCAAGACCGAUGUGAAAUCCCCGAGCUUAACUUGGGAAUUGCAUUGGUGACUGC